rnacentral:rRNA from 1 species
AGUGAACGCUGGCGGUAGGCCUAACACAUGCAAGUCGAACGGCAGCACAGUAAGAGCUUGCUCUUACGGGUGGCGAGUGGCGGACGGGUGAGGAAUACAUCGGAAUCUACUUUUUCGUGGGGGAUAACGUAGGGAAACUUACGCUAAUACCGCAUACGACCUACGGGUGAAAGCAGGGGAUCUUCGGACCUUGCGCGACUGAAUGAGCCGAUGUCGGAUUAGCUAGUUGGUGGGGUAAAGGCCCACCCAGGCGACGAUCCGUAGCUGGUCUGAGAGGAUGAUCAGCCACACUGGAACUGAGACACGGUCCAGACUCCUACGGGAGGCAGCAGUGGGGAAUAUUGGACAAUGGGCGCAAGCCUGAUCCAGCCAUACCGCGUGGGUGAAGAAGGCAUUCGGGUUGUAAAGCCCUUUUGUUAGGAAAGAAAAGCAGCAGGUUAAUACCCCGCUGUUCUGACGGUACCCAAAGAAUAAGCACCGGCUAACUUCGUG